UAUCCAUGUACUUUGGCUCUCUAGCCUGUAUAAGUGUCAUAUACAAAACCUUACAAGCAUUAUGUUUGUUGAUAUAUUUUCUAGGUAACUCUCAAAAGAGAACCUAACUUUCUGUGGUAGAUGACAAUAGAAA